GUUGGUUAAGUCCCGCAACGAGCGCAACCCUCGACCUUAGUUGCCAGCAUUCAGUUGGGCACUCUAAGGUGACUGCCGGCUAAAAGUCGGAGGAAGGUGGGGAUGACGUCAAAUCAUCAUGCCCCUUAUGACCUGGGCUACACACGUGCUACAAUGGGCGGUACAAAGGGUCGCGAACCCGCGAGGGGGAGCCAAUCCCAAAAAGCCGCUCUCAGUUCGGAUUGCAGGCUGCAACUCGCCUGCAUGAAGCCGGAAUCGCUAGUAAUCGCGGAUCAGCAUGCCGCGGUGAAUACGUUCCCGGGCCUU
rnacentral:rRNA from 1 species